rnacentral:lncRNA from 1 species
CUUUUGUUACGGCUAACCUCUCUACCGCGCAAUUCACAUGCGACUGUUCUGACCCUUAAAUUAGUAUAUUUUUAGACAGUAUUAAGAUGUUAUACAGCUUCUGUUUGCUGGUUGACACUACAACAAAAACGGUCUAUAGCGACACUUUUAAAUGUAGGUACAUAUCAAAAAAGUGUUGUUAGCUAAAAUUACCGACACUUUUAAAAAGUGUUGCUAUAUGUGGGGUCGAUAGGUAAAUAGUGACAGUUAAAGAGUGUCGCUAUAACCUAAAAGAGUGCUGCUAAUUUACCAACACUUAUUUAAGCAUUUAGCAACCGCCGAAACUCUAUCUCGUUGGCUGCGGUGGCGGAGGAGGACGACAGGAAAGACUCUUCGUCUAGAAUUUCAGUGGAUUGAGUGAAGAGAGAAGAAAAGAUGGUAAUUGAUUUUUCUUUUUUCUUUUCUUUUCUAUUUGUAAUCGGGCCAAAUGGACUGGGUGUGAUGGGUUGAGUAGAGUAAUCUUUUAUUUUUGGUUGGAUUGGGCUUUAUAUUUAGGCAUUAGUAGAUGUUUUUUUAAGUUUUAGGAUAAAUGGGACAUUUACUCAAAAGUGUCCCAAACAUGUGUCCCUAUAACCUAAUUCUGUUGUAGUGUGAGUUGUUCAUGUAACCGGUGCAAAAAUUGAAGUCAGAUUCGGAGGUCAUUUGGUAGAAAACAA